GCUGAGCUCUAUGGAUCCAUCUGGAUGAAAAGGGAACUUAUAUUUGUCAGCUUUGCAAGUGGGGCUCAGUUUCGGGGAAGGGGUGAGAGAGAAGAAAGGAAGAAACUGAUGAAGAGAAUGAAAGAGGAAAAGACCUGCCUGACACCUGGAUCUUAGAAACAAACCUUUCCUAACAACAGACCUCCAAGCAUAAAGAGAGUAUUUUCAAACAACUCAAAAAAUCAGUCUAAAUCAACGAUAUUCAAAAGGACAAAGAAAAAAAUAAUAGGGGAUUAUGUUCUUUUCUCAUCUGUCUUAUGUUCUGAAGUUAUUCAUUUGACACCUUCUGCUCUUGUACGAUGGCAGGCCUGUAUUCCCAAAGAUGCCCAUUCCAGCCAUCUAUUGCUGUGUAACAAAUGACGACAAUGUAUGAUGGUUUAAAAUCACAACUAUUUUAUUUCAUCUCUCAAUAUUGUGGGUCAGAGUUCAGGCUUGGUGAAGUGAUUCAUCUGCUCCAUAUGGCUUGAACAGUGGUCUCAGAGUGGUAUUCUGCUGGUGAGUUGGCUGGUUUCAAGGGUCUAAGUGAAGUUUAGAGGCUUCACUCACAUGUCUGCACCUUGGCAGGGAUGGCUUCAAAGAUGGGGUCCACUGGGACU
rnacentral:lncRNA from 10 species